UAUCCGGAUUUACUGGGCGUAAAGGGUGCGUAGGCGGUCUUUCAAGUCAGGAGUGAAAGGCUACGGCUCAACCGUAGUAAGCUCUUGAAACUGGGAGACUUGAGUGCAGGAGAGGAGAGUGGAAUUCCUAGUGUAGCGGUGAAAUGCGUAGAUAUUAGGAGGAACACCAGUUGCGAAGGCGGCUCUCUGGACUGUAACUGACGCUG
rnacentral:rRNA from 1 species